UCCUACGGGAGGCAGCAGUGGGGAAUAUUGCGCAAUGGGGGAAACCCUGACGCAGCAACGCCGCGUGAGCGAUGAAGGUCUUCGGAUUGUAAAGCUCUGUCUUUAGGGACGAUAAUGACGGUACCUAAGGAGGAAGCCACGGCUAACUACGUGCCAGCAGCCGCGGUAAUA
rnacentral:rRNA from 1 species